CCUACGGGUGGCAGCAGUGGGGAAUAUUGGGCAAUGGGCGAAAGCCUGACCCAGCAACGCCGCGUGAAGGAAGAAGGCUUUCGGGUUGUAAACUUCUUUUGACAGGGAAGAGCAGAAGACGGUACCUGUCGAAUAAGGAUCGGCUAACUCCGUGCCAGCAGCCGCGGUAAUACGGAGGAUUCGAGCGUUAUCCGGAUUUAUUGGGUUUAAAGGGUGCGUAGGCUGUUGGAUAAGUUAGAGGUCAAAUGUCGGGGCUUAACCCCGUGCCUCCCUCUGAUACUGUUCGACUAGAGAGCGGAUGCAGCAGGCGGAAUGAGUAGUGUAGCGGUGAAAUGCUUAGAUAUUACUCAGAACACCGAUUGCGCAGGCAGCUUGCUAAUCCGCAUCUGACGCUGAUGCACGAAAGCGUGGGUAGCGAACAGGAUUAGAUACCCGGGUAGUC
rnacentral:rRNA from 1 species